UACGGGGGGGGCAAGCGUUGUUCGGAAUUACUGGGCGUAAAGCGUGCGCAGGCGGCUUUGCAAGACAGAUGUGAAAUCCCCGGGCUUAACCUGGGAACUGCAUUUGUGACUGCAUGGCUGGAGUGCGGCAGAGGGGGUUGGAAUUCCGCGUGUAGCAGUGAAAUGCGUAGAUAUGCGGAGGAACACCGAUGGCGAAGGCAAUCCCCUGGGCCUGCACUGACGCUCAUGCACGAAAGCGUGGGGAGCAAACAGG
rnacentral:rRNA from 1 species